GCCCGAAACGUCAGCUUUUGUGCUCCUGAGAUGCGGCUGGGCCUGCUGUGUUCAUCCAGCCCCACAUUUUAUUAUCUUGCUUUACCCAACUCGCCGACAGGGGGCGGGAGCGGACGCGCCCCCAAGAUCGUCGCAUCGUCGCAGCUCCUUGAGUGGCGUCAGGCGCAGCCAUUAGAACUGAAGGGGAGGCGGGACCCUCGCGUAAUUGUCAUCAAUUGCGCCAAUUAGGAACAGCAUGAGGAGACAUCUCUGUUUAAUUGGUCCAUCGCGUAUGAUAUGCAAAUAAAAGAACACCGCUCAAAUUCAGUCGAAAUACCCCCUCACGUUUCCUGGAUUUAAGAUGUACUGUGUUUGCAAUUUUUAUAUAUGCUGGCACCUUCCCGGACCUGUGGGAAAUGGCUGCAGUCUAAGAUGCAGACCAUCAGGCCCCAAGCACUGGUUAGUUGGGUCAGUUGACGGAUCUUCCAGGAUUUGACCUGAGAUUUCUCACCCAUUGGUUCGGAUUUCUACAGCAAUGCAAGGUGCUGACAUCUGUUGGAAGAUGCUGGAAUUGCAGAUGAUCAGAUUUGGAUUUAGACGUUACAGUCAUGUUCUCAAAUACAAAGGCACAGGAGUAUAGUGUAGAGUAUGAAAUGAUGCUACGCACAGCGCCAUCAUAGGUACAGGUACAAAAUCUUAAGAACAAGGCAGAAAGAACAAAGUUAAAAGUUAAACACUGCGGUCAUUCUUAGUGUUAGGUAGAAAAAUAAAGAAAUGAAGCUAAAAAUUCAAACAUUGCAGUCUCUGAUCAGUGCUUAACCCCACUGGGACCAUACAUUCUACAGGGGGUCUGCCCCUCUUUGCCAUGUUCUCCACACCCAGUCCAUUCCAAGGGUCCCCGCACCGGGCCUAAAACACCACCAUCACUGAAUCAAUUGCAGCUCCCGUCAAUCCACGAGGAAUAUUGAUUCAGUCUUGCCCCAUUGCUGCAUCUGACCGAUGCCAACCGUGAAUACCAUCUUUGCCAACUGCAGAGGCCAUCCUGCUAUUGCCACCCUCUUG